GUUCAAUCUUCGAAAAUCCUCAGUUUUCUUACGAUUAUCAUCGAAUUACCCCUCAAAAUCUCCAUUUCUGUACAAUCUCCUGCUUUUUCUCUCUCGAUCGAUGUAAUUUUCACCCAAAAUAGUUAACAAUUCAAUCCUCCAAACCUUUUUUUUUGUUUUUAUCAGUUUUCGGGUUCAAAUCGUUAGCUUCAAUCAGUUUAGUUGAGUGGGUAUCAUGGAAAUGACGAUCGUGUAUGGUUUUUGUACAGUUCAAUGUUAAUUGUAGACCCCCAAGUUUGUGUUUUGAUCAAUUUAGGGUUCAAUCUUUAGCUGCAAUCGUUUUGGUUGAUUGGGGUUGGUGAAAAUGAAGAUCGUGUAUGGUUUUUGUGCAGUUCAAUGUUCAUUGUAGAACCCCCAAGUUUUCAUUUUGAUCAAUUUAGGGUUCAAUUCUUAGCUUUGAAUAAGUUUGGUUUAACAUCAGUUCAGUAUUCAUUGUAGAACCCCCAAAGUUCUUGUUUUGAUCAAUUU
rnacentral:misc_RNA from 1 species